AUGACUGAGUCACCAACUUCUAGAAAACUGAUGGUACAAGGCGGCCAAAGUCAGACCUCAGAAAAAGAGCAACAAGAAGCGAUCGAACAUAUUGAUGAAGUACAGAAUGAAAUAGACUUAAUGAACAAGUCAGCGAGGAGAUUUUGAAGGUAGAACAGAAAUAUAACGAAGAGGUUGGAACUGAUAGCCAAAAUCCCCACUAUUUGUCAACCAUCCACAAGUGCACUGCUUGGGGAGGAGUAUGAAGAGGCGCUGCAUUAUUUGACAGGAGUUGAAGUGACAAAAAUUUGAAGAUAUUAAAUCAGGUUACAGAAUAGAAUUUUAUUUUGAUGAAAACCCUUACUUCGAAAAUAAAGUUCUCUCCAAAGAAUUUCAUCUGAAUCAGAGUGGUGAUUCUUUUUCAAAGUCCACUGAAAUCAAAUGGAAAUCUGGAAAGGAUUUGACGAAAAGUUCAAGUCAAACACAAAAUAAAGCCAGCAGGAAGAGACAGCAUGAGAAACCAGACAGCGUCUUUACCUGGUUUACUGAUCAUUCUGAUGCAGGUGCAGAUGAGUUAGGAGAGGUCAUUAAAGAUGAUAUUUGGCCAAAUCCACUACAGUACUACUUGGUUCCCGAUAUGGAUGAUGAAGAAGGUGAAGGGAAAGAUGAUGAUGAUGAUGAUGAUGAUGAUGAAGAGGAAGAAGGAUUAGAAGAUAUUGAUGAAGGAGAUGCAGAUGAAGGUGAAGAAGAUGAAGAUGAUGAUGAGGGGGAGGAAGAUGAAGGAGAAGAUGACUAAUGGAACACUGAUGGAUUCCAGCCUUUAUUUUCUCCAGUCCCUGGGAGCAAGUUGCAGUCUCUCUUUUUUUUUUUCUUUAUUUUUUCCCCUCCCCUUGUGCUCAGUCCCUUGUUUUUUGAGGUCUCUUCUCUCCUUUAUACCAUGGUUAUCAACUUAUUUUGGAGGAAAAUACCUUGAGCAGAAUACAGUUGAAAAGAAUCUCUAUCCUUUUCUGUUCCAAAUUAAUUUUUAUCCCUUCCUCUCUCAACAAAAACUUAUGUAAUCAAUACCACCAUGCUCUGUGGGAAAAAAGAAAAACCUUCUGCUCCCUUAGCUCUGCUGGAAGCUGGAGGUGCUAGCCCCCUGUGUAGUAGUGCAUAGAAUUCUAUCUUUUUUCCUCCUUUCUCUGUAUAUUAGGCUCAGAGAUUACUCUGUGUCUCUAUGUGAAUAUGGACAGUUAGCAUUUACCAACAUGUAUCUGUUUACUUUCUCUUGUUUAAAAAAAAUUUUAAAAAAUCUUUUAAAAAAAUGGGGUUCCACUAGGGAAAGAUAGAGGCAGGCUGGGAGUAUGGAUCGACCUGUUCAGUAUGGAUCGCCCAUGUUCAGUGGGGAAGCAAUUACAGAAGCCAGACCUUCCACCUUCUGCAUCCCACAAGGAUACUGGGUCCAUACUCCCAGAGGGUUAAAGAAUAGGAAAGCUAUCAAGGAAGGGAAUGGGAUAUGGAGUUCUGAUGGUGGGAAUUGUGUGGAGUUGUACCCCUCUUGUCCUAUGGUUUUGUCAAUGUUUUCUUUUUAUAAAUAAAUAAAUAAAUAAAUAAAUAAGGUUGUAGAAAGUCAGCAAAGGGUGAGUUUGAGAUGUUGGUUGGGUUAAGUGGGCAUUUCGACAACAUGGCUCCUCCUUUGGCAUGUUUAAUUGUGAUGUUUAAUGGACAUCCUUGCAGUUUUAAGAUGACACUUUUAAAAAUUAUCUCCUAAUGAUGACUUGAGCCCAGCCACUCGAAGGGUGAAUAAGUAGAACCCGUAGGAUCUUAUUUGGAAUUGUAAUUUUGUUUCUGUUUAUUUUUAAAUUUUCUUUUUUGUUUUCACUGGAAAGGAAAGAUGAUGUUCAGUUUUUUUAAAAAAAUAUUUUUAAUCUUUAUUUAUUUAUUGGAUAGAGACAGCCAGAAGUUGAGUGGGAAGGGGGUGGUAGGAAGGGAGAGAGACAGAGAGAAACACCUGCAGCUCUGCUUCACCACUUGCAAAGCUUUCCCCUUGUAGGUG